rnacentral:lncRNA from 1 species
AAGAGAGGAAUUACCCGAACUCAUGAUUUCCUCCCUUUCGGAAAGGAAGAACGUGAAAUUCAAACAAGACUAAACAGACAGGACUAAACAGACUUAAUCUAUAUAUAUAUAGAGUGAGGCUACUAUGCUAUCGGAAGCACGGAGCCUUCCGUGCUUCCAGCUCGUUUUCGAUGUUGCGAUUUUCGAAUCGUCGAUCGGCUCCGUUAAACUUGAUCUAGAGUAUUUGAAGUACCUAGAAAAUAAAUUUUAUAAUUUCACGAUAUCAUUUGCCUAGUGAACAAAGGAGCUCAAAAUCAACGGCUGAAAAUAAAAAUCUUACAAAAUGUAAUAAUAUGACAUUAAAAUUUUAAAUCAAAGAUAUUGAUCUUGUUUUAUAUAGUAUAAAUAAUUUUCUAUCAAAAUUUUACGUGAUUUGGAUAUUUCUACACCGUUAAACUUACAAACGGCUCACUACGGCCAUUGAAAUUUGUUGAUUUUGAGCCCAUUCGAUCACUAGGCAAAUGAUAUCGAAAAAUAAUAAAAUUUAUUUUCUAGGUACUCCAAAUACUCUAGAUCAAGUUUAACGGAGCCGAUCGACGAUUCGAAAGUCGCAACAUCGAAAACGAGCUGGAAGCACG